rnacentral:lncRNA from 1 species
CAGAGAUGCAACACGUGCUUGCAAAGGGGUGUGUUCAUCCAGGAAAUAAGCCAGGUUUCCUCUCCUGUUCGGGCCUGAGGUGCGACCUCUGUGACUUGCCACGUCCAGCCACGGACGAGCCACACACUUGGCACUGCCAGAGCACGAGGAAGCUGAAAGCCUUUCAGAGGACAGAAAGAAGCGGAGCAGACGUGCCUGGACAGGAGAGCAGAUAAGCAGGAACGUCACCGAGCCUGACUGGUACAUCACUGUGACAGUCCCGCACACACAGCCGAAGGAAUUCACCUCACCUGGGUGGCAACAGUGAGAG